rnacentral:rRNA from 1 species
ACUCCUACGGGAGGCAGCAGUGGGGAAUCUUGGACAAUGGGGGAAACCCUGAUCCAGCCAUGCCGCGUGAGUGAUGAAGGCCCUAGGGUUGUAAAACUCUUUCGGCGGGGACGAUAAUGACGGUACCCGCAGAAGAAGCUCCGGCUAACUUCGUGCCAGCAGCCGCGGUAAUACGAAGGGGGCUAGCGUUGUUCGGAAUUACUGGGCGUAAAGCGUGCGCAGGCGGCUCAUCCAGUCAGAGGUGAAAGCCCAGGGCUCAACCCUGGAAUUGCCUUUGAAACUAGUGGGCUCGAGUGCGGGAGAGGUGAGUGGAAUUCCCAGUGUAGAGGUGAAAUUCGUAGAUAUUGGGAAGAACACCGGUGGCGAAGGCGGCUCACUGGCCCGUUUCUGACGCUCAUGCACGACAGCGUGGGGAUCAAACAGGAUUAGAUACCCUGGUAGUC